GGUAUAGUGUUGUCAGUGAUUAGAUUAGAUUUAUUUUGAUCAUUACGAUGCCAUCGUGUGCAAUAAAAAAAUGUAAAAACAAUUUGCGGAAUACAAAAAACAAAAAAAUCAGUUUUUUUACAUUUCCGAAGAAAACGGAAAUAAUCGAAAAGUGGAAACUUGUGUGCAAAGAAAAUGUUAACCCUAAAACCGCUCGUGUCUGUUCGGAACAUUUUCAUCAUUCACAAUUUGAAGAUCAAUCGUGGUUAAAAAAUUUAAUUGGAGAAUCUGGGAAUAUACGAGUAAGACUCGAAACGUGAUAUAGUUCCACUGGCAGCCAUAGAGAACAACCAAAUUUCCAUAGAUAACGAUUUGGAAGCAGAUGUUGCACAACCUGUUGCCCAUUGCUCGUUUAAUCCAGAUACGGAUUGUGCUGCGU